rnacentral:rRNA from 1 species
UACGUAGGGGGCAAGCGUUGUCCGGAUUUAUUGGGCGUAAAGAGCGUGUAGGCGGCCUGAAAGGUCAGCUGUGAAAACUCGAGGCUCAACCUCGAGACGUCGGUUGAAACCAUCUGGCUAGAGUCCGGAAGAGGAGUGUGGAAUUCCCGGUGUAGCGGUGAAAUGCGCAGAUAUCGGGAAGAACACCCGUGGCGAAGGCGGGUCUCUGGGCCGAUACUGACGCUGAGGAGCGAAAGCGUGGGGAGCGAACAGG